rnacentral:rRNA from 1 species
GACGAACGCUGGCGGCGCGCUUAACACAUGCAAGUCGAACGGAAAGGCCUGCUUUCCCUUGUGGAUUGCGGGUACUCGAGUGGCGAACGGGUGAGUAACACGUGAGUGAUCUGCCCCCAACUUGGGUAUAAGCCUGGGAAACUGGGUCUAAUUCCCGAUAGGACUGCAGGGUGGUGCCUGUGGUGGAAAACGAUUUUCUAGUGGUUGGGGAUGAGCUCGCGGCCUAUCAGCUUGUUGGUGGGGUAAUGGCCUACCAAGGCGGCGACGGGUAGCCGGCCUGGGAGGGUGGACGGCCGCAUUGGGACUGGGAUACGGCCCCGACUCCUACGGGCGGCAGCAGUGGGGAAUAUUGCACAAUGGGCGGAAGCCUGAUGCAGCGACGCCGCGUGGGGGAUGACGGCCUUCGGGUUGUAAACUCCUUUCGACCGCGAGGAAGCCACCUGGUUGGAAGGGUGGUGACGGUAGUGGUAGAAGAAGCACCGGCUAACUACGUG